CACGCCACACGGUCCAUUGACACCAAAUUUCACCAGCGCAUGGCGGACGACGACCAUUUAAGAAUUAAGAUCAACCGACGGUCGGUGACGCAGACGGAGACGGAGUGGGACAUUCUGAUACAGUUGCUGGUUCCUGGUUCCUGGUUCCAGAGUCUUCUUCCUCACAUCUAUAAAAACCCUAAUCCUAAAAGCCCCAAAAUUUUAGACUCCAAUCAAAGGGCCAAAACCAUUGUCAUCAGUUCUAAUUUUUUGUUGUGGUGGGUGGAUGGGGAUCAUAAGAAGCUGCUUCUCGUUCAUAGUAGGGACGGUGUGCGGGAUUUACGUAGCUCAAAACUACGACGUUCCGAACAUCAAGAAGCUCGCCCACACCGCCCAAUUCAAGGCCAAGCAAAUCGAAGAGAAGUACCGCAAGCCCAAGAGCCGGGGUGACGGUGACUAACAUUAGCAUUCGAUUCGACCCAACUCCAUUUACUCAUUUAAAGCAAAGUACGAAAAUGAUGCUGUCUUCUUUUCAACCAGGUUCGCUAGUUUUGCAAUCUUGUUCUUAUCCAGGAUAGGUUAUGAGGAAGGGGCCAAAUGAGUUGGCAUUAAUCUCUAUGCUAUACUACAAUAACGAAACAGUUUUAGUUAUGAGAAAAGGUGGGUUUCCAAUUGAACUACAUAGACCAGCUAUAUCACUAUUUUCUUUUCUUUUGUGUAUUAGUAAGUUUCUUUCUCCCACCCGCGAGCUCACCCUCCACCUUCUUCCGAGCACAUUUGACUAUAUUCACCGAAAGAAAAUGAUUGCCUCAAAUAAGAUAUUGUUCCAGUGAAUGAAGAACCGAAAUUGCUGAUUGAUCUAGAACAACAUCUGCCGAGAAACUAACUUCUUUUUAAGCUGAUUGGUCGAGGGAAUUUAUGAAAAAGUGCCAGUGAUGGUCCACGCAAUCUCAUCUAUAUAUAUUGAAGGCUACUGCAGGUCCAUUAUACUAGUUGGAUCAUUUAGAUUCUUCUGUUUACUAAUGAGUAGUCUUUUUGUGUUCUCUACUCAUGUUGCUAAAAUAUCUGACUCUUUAUAGCUGAAGAGAAGAAAGAAUACCCUUCGAGUUA